rnacentral:rRNA from 1 species
UACGUAGGCAGCAAGCGUUGUUCGGAAUUACUGGGCGUAAAGAGUGUGUAGGCGGUGCUCUAAGUUUGUCGUGAAAUCUCCCGGCUUAACUGGGAGGGUGCGGCGAAAACUGGAGUGCUAGAGGGUGGGAGAGGAAAGCGGAAUUCCUGGUGUAGCGGUGAAAUGCGCAGAUAUCAGGAGGAACACCCGUGGCGAAAGCGGCUCUCUGGAACGGUACUGACGCUGAGACGCGAAAGCGUGGGGAGCGAACAGG